rnacentral:rRNA from 1 species
UUCGCAAUGCCCGAAAGGGUGACGAAGCGACGCCGCGUGAGUGAGGAAGGCCUUCGGGUUGUAAAGCUCUGUCAGGAGUUAAGGAAUAUAAGUGUGCCAAUACCACAUUUAUUUGACAAAGGCUCCAAAGGAAGCCACGGCUAACUCUGUGCCAGCAGCCGCGGUAAUACAGAGGUGGCAAGCGUUGUUCGGAAUUAUUGGGCGUAAAGAGCACGUAGGUGGGCUUGUAAGUCAGAUGUGAAAGCCUUCUGUUCAACGGAAGAAUUGCAUCUGAAACUGCGAGUCUUGAGUGUAGGAGGGGAGAAUGGAACUUCUGGUGGAGCGGUGAAAUGCGUAGAUAUCAGAAGGAACGCCGGCGGCGAAAGCGAUUCUCUGGCCUAUUACUGACACUCAGUGUGCGAAAGCUAGGGGAGCAAACGGGAUUAGAUACCCCGGUAGUCCUAGCUGUAAACGAUGGGCACUAAGUAGAGGGGCAUU